CAGCAGCCGCGGGAAAACGGAGGGUGCAAGCGUUAAUCGGAAUUACUGGGCGUAAAGCGCACGCAGGCGGUCUGACAAGUCAGAUGUGAAAUCCCCGGGCUUAACCUGGGAACUGCAUUUGAAACUGUCAGGCUGGAGUCUUGUAGAGGGGGGUAGAAUUCCAGGUGUAGCGGUGAAAUGCGUAGAGAUCUGGAGGAAUACCGGUGGCGAAGGCGGCCCCCUGGACAAAGACUGACGCUCAGGUGCGAAAGCGUGGGGAGCAAACAGGAUUAGAUACCCGGGUAGUCCCUGUCUCUUAUAC
rnacentral:rRNA from 1 species